GCUGUCACCCCUAACUUUUCUUCAUCCCUUGAAUUCUUGAUGCGAAGAGGAUCUUCUAAGAGCGACUUUUUAUUUAUUUAUUUAUUUUUUCAUAUAUUCAUAAAAAAUUAAUCCCCAAAAAAUCAUCAAUCACAGAAGCGGAUAAAUCCCCAUCGGUCAGUUAUGGCGUCCGUGCGUGCUUCGAUUAUAUAUUCAAUGGAUCAGGUGACAUCGCCGAUUUUAAUUUUAUUGCAGGUUUUAUAUACCAUUUUUUGUAAAGAAAUAAAUCGACAAUGUUUACACGCAUUUUUGGGAAACCUAAGCAAGAGACAAAUGCUCUGGCAACGCUGGACAAGUUAAAUGAGACUCUUGAGAUGCUAGAGAAAAAAGAGAAAGUUCUUAUGAAGAAGACUGCUGCCGAAGUUGAGAAAGCCAAGGAGUUUACAAGAGCCAAAAAUGAAAGGGGAAUGAUCUAUUUACUAUAGCUUAUCUGCAAUACAAUGUUUGAAGAGAAAGUGGCUCUAUGAACAAAAAGUUGAACAGCUUGGAAAUUUUCAGUUGCGUAUCCAUGAUCAGAUGAUAAUGCUAGAGGGUGCAAAAGCUACAACAGAAACUGUUGACGCUUUGAGAACUGGAGCAGCUGCAAUGAAAGCCAUGCAGAAGGCGACUAUAUUGAUUCUACAUCAGUAAUAUUGACGAUGUGGACAAGACAAUGGACGAGAUCAAUGAGCAGACCGAAAAUAUGAAACAGAUUCAAGAAGCACUGUCAGCACCAAUUGGUGCAGCGGCUGAUUUUCAUGAAAGGCAGAACUUGAAGAGCUGGAAGGAGUUGAGUUGGAGGAACAACUUCUGCAACCUGCCACAACCGCCCCUGCUGCUCCAAUUCAAGUGCCCACUGGAAAGCAACCUGUACGUCCAGCUGCUCGCAAGAAUACAGAAGAGGAAGAUGAGCUUGCUGCAUUGCAGGCAGAGAUGGCACUUUAACAAGCAUUGAGCUCUUAGUGCUGCACUUGCUUGGAAAAUUCUUUUGCGGUUGUCAGUCAUACUUUGAAGAAAUUUUAUGAAGGUGGAGACCAUAUCUUGAGCUGCUGCGACCACCCUAUUCUGUGAAAAACUAAAUUUCUAUAUGUCCAUUUCUAGUACUUGUAUAGAUAAUGUUCGAUUUAAUGUUUGGAAGUAUAAUGUGUGAUAUUGCUUCUUAUCUGUUAUAAUUGAGAUUUUAAUAGAAUCAAAACUUUCACAACUA